rnacentral:piRNA from 1 species
UUUGAAGUCUUUUCUACUCAUCAGAAA